rnacentral:lncRNA from 1 species
CGGUAACACUAGUGCCUUUUUAGUAUGGAUUCAUGUGGAUCCCCUAUUCGAAAGUCGUGACUAUAGCUGUCUUUGGCAGUACGCAGAACGCGCUGGACGGCGAGUCAAGGUUUGCAUGCGCUUGUCUGUCGGCUCGAAGGGAUCUUUCCGGGGGCAGAUCACCAGUUCAGUUUUGUCCUCUUCGCUCUUCUGGCAACUUCCAGAGUUCCAUCUUUGCAUUUCUCCCAGCAACCAAAGACCUGUCUGCGCUGCAGGCGGUAACGUGUCACGUCCGGGCACUGUGGCGAAAAUCAUGGCUGUUAACACUGAGCUCUGUCGAGUCAAAAAGGAGCGCAACUUGUAAAUGGGGUGUACCUUACGGCCCUCGUGUUUCGGUCCAACGUAGGUGGUAGCAAUGCUCCUCGCUUGUUUGUCUUUUCCAUUAGGAGCAAGGUGCUUGUUCAUGGUCGAAAUAUGUGUUCUUCGUCGAGCAACACGACUGGUUUCUGCAUCUCGAACACAGUGCAGACCUGACCGAAACCGAUCAAACACACGUUCAUCCUUGGAACUCUUUUCACGUUGUUCGCAGACAAUUUUUCAUUUAAACUGUCACACAUGCAGUUCCUGCUCCGUCAAUAACCUAGCAAGCGUUCGCUGCGGGUGCAUGAAACCUAUCCGGCCUACGGCCGGUGGUGCGGCGAGAUCCGCUCGUUUGAAGCAGACUAUGGUGUCUGUCGUCACCAGUCAAUGCAAAUUGGGAUGCUUCUUCGUCGGAUGUUGGGGAGUGGUUUUCUUAGUUUGAAUCAAGGCCUUCGUCACCAGUUCUGAUCUUCUGGUGCAACAUCCGGAAGCGUGCUGUGCAGCGUGAGAAUAUUUGGGAGGAAACUCUUUUUGACGGUUGUCUCCCAUAAGAGCUUUUAUUCGGGUAAUAAAAUGACUAGCACUGCUUGGCCCUGUGCUGGGGCCCAUGUCUCUGUAAUGGGGUUUCUCGAGAACGUAGAGAAGGGUGUAGAAAUACAUCAUCGCUGUCGAAUCGGACGACACCACAUACUUUGCCGCGCAUGUGAAGAAGGGAUCUCCAAGCCUAAGCACCAGACAGCUCGGAGAAGGUGUCUUCCUUUCUCCUUCGGGUCCUCGUAGUCAGCACCUGAGACUGCCCAACAUACCUGCGGUGUCGCUUGCGUUCUCGUGACACUCUUCAACAAACUUGUGGACCGGAGGGGGC